rnacentral:rRNA from 1 species
AUUUGUCUGGUUAAUUCCGAUAACGAACGAGACCUUAACCUGCUAACUAGAUUCUAUCAUCUUAUGGUUGAUAUCUUCUUAGAGGGACUAUGUAAAACAAAUACAUGGAAGUUUGAGGCAAUAACAGGUCAGUGAUGCCCUUAUAUGUCCUGGGCUGCACGCGUGCUACACUGAUGCAUACAACAAGUGCCUAACCAGACAUGGUAUGGCAAUCUCGAAUAUGCAUCGUGAUGGGGAUAGAUCUUUGCAAUUAUAGAUCUUGAACGAGGAAUUCCUAGUAAGUGCAAGUCAUCAUCUUGCAUUGAUUAUGUCCCUGCCCUUUGUACACACCGCCCGUCGCUCCUACCGAUACCGGGUGAUCCGGUGAACCUUUUGGACCUUAACGGGGAAGAUAAGUAAACCAUAUCACCUAGAGGAAGGAGAAGUCGUAACAAGGUUUCCGUAGGUGAACCUGCRGAAGGAUCA